AUGUAUCAUAACCUAACACAGCCCUCAUUCUUCGAGCUCAUCCCUAACCUUCUCUCCUCUUUCUCUCCUCCUUUGAAAGCUCCAGAUCUUCAUCUCUAAGCCCUUACAAUCAAUUUCCCUCUUUCUUUCAUCUCCUCUAAUUUCAUUAAAUUUAGUUAAUUUAUCUCUCUCUUUAUUCAAGCUCUCUUUUCAUAGUUUUUUCUUAUUCUUAUUUGGAUCUUCAUUGUAUUACUAGGCAUUCGAUUUUCUCUUUGUUCUUUGAUUGCGUGAAUUUCAGAGAAAUAUCGGGUGAACAAUAAAAAAAAAAUCCAGUUAGAUUCGAGGGAAUGUGGUUUCCGCAGUUUUGUCUAGCACAGGUAAUUCGAAAAAUACAUCAAUUAAUUUUUUUUAUUGAUUUUUGUUCUUUUCUGGCACCAGUUGAUUCGAACAAUACGUUGAUUAACUUUCGAAUUUCCUCUAUUUAGAAUGAAAUUUUGGUAAAUUGAUGUUUGGUGCCUCCAUGGAGAAGAACUUACUUUCUAAUUUACGUUUCUUCUGUAAAUUUCAGAUAUUUAAGUAGUUUGUUUCUUUGAUUUAUUUCAAGGCUGGAUUUUGGGGAUGUUUCUUUCUGCAGUACCAUUUCCAUGUGAUUAUCAUUUUAUCUCUUUGAUUUUAUAACGCUUUUAUAAAUCAUCAGUUGGAAAUGUUAGUAUAUUAUCCCAAAAUCAAGCUAAUGAACUCAGCAGAGGUCAACCUACCUUCCUGAAACCUUACAUAUCAAUUAUCAUAUGUCCUCUACUUUGAUUUGACUAGUUGGUUUAGUAGAAACUUUAAACACCGCAGCGUACAAUAGUUUUAGGGAUUGGUUGCUCGAUCUACCUUCCUAAAGAUGGAAACUUCUUUAAUGGGGUUAUGUGGUUAAUUGAACAAACCUACCAUUAGCUUUGGUAUUAGCAUACAAGGUGUCUGAAGAAAUCCCCCAUAGCAGAAUGAAGUGUUCUUAUUAUUUUUAAGAGAAAAAUCGUUCCAUGGGACAUAAAUCAUCCCUUGAAUUGCGAAACCCAUUUAGCAAAUCUGAUAACUCUGCCCCUGAUUCUGGUGGUGGCCUGACUGAUCAAAUCAACUGCUUCGAAGUUUCAUGUUCGUCUUUUCUCUCAUUUCCUGUUCUUCCUAGUUAUUUUUUGGUAUGUGAUUGAUAAUGUGUUUUGAUUGGGGUACCUUUUAGGUUUUCUAUCCUUAAACCUAAAGGGCGAUUAACUGUGUUCUCUUUUUGGAAGCUAAAGGGUGGUUAAGUGUUGCUCAAAGAGUAUCUUUCGGGCUUUUCAAGAUUAUAGGAAUGAUGAGCCUGUUGAAAGCUUGAAGAAUGCACACAAAUUAUUUCUUGAGAGGAUUCCAGUUGUACAUAAUGAGGCAUGCGUGUUCUAUUCAUUAGGGUUCAAAUAUGGCUCUUUGUCGCAGUUAACGAAUCUCUGAAGAAUACUUCUCAGAUUGUUCAACGUGACAAGGAGCGACAUAAAAAUGAAGGACAUGACACUUGCGCUUAUAAACUACUACUACUAUUAGAUCCUAGUUUUUCUAGUACUUAGUUCUUCGGUUUAGUAGAUAGAGUUUGUGUUUUUAUUAUGUUUUGGACUAUUUAGUUAGUAACAUAUUAGUAACAUUAUCAUGUAUUAUGGAUUUUAACGUACUAUGUACUUCUAGAUUUUUGAAGUAUUUUUAAUGUUACGUUGGUCGAAGACCAAUUAUUUAAAAUUCAGGUUUCAUUUAUAGGUGAAA